UACGGAGGGUGCAAGCGUUAAUCGGAAUUACUGGGCGUAAAGCGCACGCAGGUGGCUGAGUCAGUCGAUUGGGAAAGCCCUGGGCUUAACCUGGGAAUUGCAGUCGAUACUACUCAGCUAGAGUAUGGGAGAGGGUAGUGGAAUUCCCGGUGUAGCGGUGAAAUGCGUAGAUAUCGGGAGGAACAUCAGUGGCGAAGGCGGCUACCUGGCCCAAUACUGACACUCAGGUGCGACAGCGUGGGGAGCAAACAGG
rnacentral:rRNA from 1 species